GCUCGGAUAGCUCAGUUGGUAGAGCAGGGGUUUUGUAAACCUCAGGUCGUAGGUUCGAAUCCUAUUCCGAGCUCCA
rnacentral:tRNA from 1 species